rnacentral:rRNA from 1 species
GACGAACGCUGGCGGCGUGCUUAACACAUGCAAGUCGAACGGAAAGGCCCUGCUUUUGUGGGGUGCUCGAGUGGCGAACGGGUGAGUAACACGUGAGUAACCUGCCCUUGACUUUGGGAUAACUUCAGGAAACUGGGGCUAAUACCGGAUAGGAGCUCCUGCUGCAUGGUGGGGGUUGGAAAGUUUCGGCGGUUGGGGAUGGACUCGCGGCUUAUCAGCUUGUUGGUGGGGUAGUGGCUUACCAAGGCUUUGACGGGUAGCCGGCCUGAGAGGGUGACCGGCCACAAUGGGACUGAGAUACGGCCCAGACUCCAACGGGAGGCAGCAGUGGGGAAUAUUGCACAAUGGGCGGAAGCCUGAUGCAGCAACGCCGCGUGCGGGAUGACGGCCUUCGGGUUGUAAACCGCUUUCGCCUGUGACGAAGCGUGAGUGACGGUAAUGGGUAAAGAAGCACCGGCUAACUACGUG